AGUGGAGAGAGAAUCUUCGUAUCCUUCAAAAGUGACAAUCAUGAUUAAGAUCAUUAGAGGUUAUAUCAGGGUGACUUAAUAUGGAUUAACCAUGAUCGAUGUUAUCAAUUUCGAAUAAGGAUCGGAUCGGGAUUCAAUCUACUGCACGAAUUUCGAAGCAGUCUCAGGUCAUCAUAUUUUUAUCUCAAAUUUAUCCUAGGAUCUAUGAUGCAAUCAGAAAGAGAGUGACCCU
rnacentral:lncRNA from 1 species